rnacentral:tRNA from 1 species
GAGGGUAUAACUCAGUGGUAAAGGGUAUACUUAGCAUGCACAAGGUCCUGGGUUCAAUCCCCAGUACCGCCA